rnacentral:rRNA from 1 species
AUGGAGCGCGGCGGGGCGGCGCCGGCGGCAGGCCGGGAGCCGAGCCUGGGGGCGAGCAGUGAGGGAUGGGGAGUGGGUGGCCUCUCUGCUGUGGAGUGGAGCACCUUCAAACGGCGGGGAAAAGACAUCCUACGCCGGGAGAGAGAUCCGGAAGGCUGUCUGCGGCGCUUGCGGAUCAAAGCAGAUGGCUUCUUCAAAUUGAAUCCAUCUGGUACUGAUUCAAAGGGAGCAGGGGCGCAGAUCGAGGCCCCUGAUUUCGCCAGGAAGAAUCACAUCACGGUGAGUUAUGUAGAGUUUAAAGGAGCAGUUUCUGGUAGGUUAAUUUGCAAUUCUUCUAUGGAUGGGGAUGGGGAUUCUAGUGGGGUAAAUCCCAACGGUUAUGGCGUUGAUUCUAGGGCGAAAUUUGAGGAAGAUGAGAUGUAUUUGAGGGGAGGUUCUCAAGGAUCGCAGGACAAAGUGUGUUCUUCCUCUGUUCUUUCUACGCCUUUGCUCUGUUCUUUGCGUGUGACACAGGAACUGAUGGCAAAUCGAAGUGUAGCUGAGAUGGACUUGGACGGGGGUGUCAAGGCAUCGGGCACCAGUGAGGGUGCGCUUGCUGUGUUCCCGGCGGUCGUCCAGGCCGGCGUGAAGGUCGCCAAGGGCGUGGCUCCAUCACCCCCGGCGACGAGUGGUGGGGCGAUCGGGGAGAUGCAGAUAUCCCCGGUUCAGGACAUGGUAAAGGCCAAGGUGGGAGGUCCAGCGGGGCCGGCGCUCACCGUGACCCCAAAGGCUUCAUUCAGUUUCGCUGCUGCCGCGGCGCCUCCCCAACUAUGCAGGAAGGGGAAGAACAAGGCGACCUCGAGCUCGAGUACGCACCCCAACCCGAUCGUCAUCAACCUGGAGGCGGCAAUGCGGGCGGUCGCGGGGAAUCUAGUGGUGGGCCGGGUGCUCUCGCCGUACCCGGUCGAUCCCGCGCUGGUCGUCAACGAGCUCAGAGGACCAUGGCGGCUCCGAGGCGAUGCCAUGGCGCAGCGCGUCACCAGCGAAGACCGUUGCUUCAUCAUCACCUUUAAGGAGGAGGGUGAUCGGCGUCAUGUGCUGCAAGCUGGACCAUGGCAUUUCAGAGACGAUGCCGUGGUUCUAGCGGCUUUCGAAGGGAAGGGCAACCCAGCAGACGUACCCCUCGACUCCAUCAACAUAUGGGCUCAAAUCUGGGGGCUACCGGUGCCGAUCAAAACAGUGGAGAUGGGCUACCUGCUGGGUGGCAAACUCGGCAAGGUCGUGACGGUGUCGCAAGUGAAUAAGAUGAUCGUCGACGAGCACUUGCGUGUUCGGGUUGUGCACCGCCUCGACGAGCCUCUGAGGAAGUUCAUCGACACCAUUGUGACGAUACCGGAUGGCAAGACAAUUGAGUCCAUCUACUACGUCAAGUAUGAAAAACUUCCUAACUUCUGUUUCUGUUGUGGCAUUCUGGGGCACACAACGGCUACUUUCUGCAACAUCCCAAAAGAGCUCCGACAGCCUUCGUACACCACUGACAUCAAGGCGCCGGCGUUCUGGAAGAACUCGCAGACGGCGGCCGGGUCGGGCCACCGCCAGCGUGGGGGCUUGGUAAAGCUUCCCGAAAUGGUCGUCACCGCCGUCUCUUCAGCGGUCCAGAAGCUGUCGGUGGCGGCUUCCCCGUCGUUGUCCGCCAUGACUAGGGCGGAACAGCCCGUCCACGGCUGCCGGGUGGGCGGCCAUGGACUGGGGUCAGGGGCCGCCCAGGAGGGGGGCCUUCUCUGA